AGCGAACGCUGGCGGCAGGCCUAACACAUGCAAGUCGAACGAAGUCUUCGGACUUAGUGGCGGACGGGUGAGUAACACGUGGGAACGUGCCUUUAGGUUCGGAAUAACUCAGGGAAACUUGUGCUAAUACCGAAUGUGCCCUUCGGGGGAAAGAUUUAUCGCCUUUAGAGCGGCCCGCGUCUGAUUAGCUAGAUGGUGAGGUAAAGGCUCACCAAGGCGACGAUCAGUAGCUGGUCUGAGAGGAUGAUCAGCCACAUUGGGACUGAGACACGGCCCAAACUCCUACGGGAGGCAGCAGUGGGGAACCUUGCGCAAUGGACGAAAGCCUGACGCAGCCAUGCCGCGUGAAUGAUGAAGGUCUUAGGAUUGUAAAAUUCUUUCACCGGGGACGAUAAUGACGGUACCCGGAGAAGAAGCCCCGGCUAACUUCGUGCCAGCCGCCGCAGUAA
rnacentral:rRNA from 1 species